rnacentral:lncRNA from 1 species
GGCUGCAGAGAAGUCUGGGAGAAACGUCCCUUGGUUCAUCUCAGUCUCUGGGCACCUGUCCACUCCCACCUGUGCCUUCCCUGGUCCYGGUUUUCCCAGCUGUGUUUCACAGGGCUAUGGGAUGUAGGCAGGGCUCUAAGCUCCAGCCCUGUCCUGUUUGGUUGAUCCCAUGCCUUGGACCCUCCUGCUCACCCCAGACCCUGCUGGUAUGACCUAAAUCCUCGCUGAGGCUCCGAGGGCUUGGUGUCCCUCUGCUCCCCGGUCUUCCYGGAACUCCCUUGCCCAACAUCCUGUGUGGUAAUCACGUCUGUUGGCCCCACGUAGCUGGGCCAUCGUUGCCAGGUUCCUCGGCUGGUUCCUGAUACUCCUCUAAGGAAACCGUCCUGAGAGAAAAAGCUGCUGUAAGUUUUCUCGGUUCAGAAUCCCCUCUCCAGGGUGGCCCAGUGUUCUUCAGCAGAGRUGACCAGGCAGACUCUGGCCCUGGGGUGGCCAGGGGGUGGGURUGAAGAAGGGACAGGAGUAAGAUGCUCCAAGAGUGGGAAUAGGGCACCCAUGUCCAGGAGGGGACCCUGGGCUGACCAGUGARGCAGCAGCCCUGCCUUAAGGGGCCCCAGGUCACUGCUCUCUGUUGGGAGAAAGGCCCACGGAGGGGGCCAUCAGGGGCACUGACAGAGCCGUAGGGCUGGGAGGAAAGCASGCUCAAGGUUGGACUGGAGGUUGGACUGGAGGUUGGGGCAGGGUGAGGGAGGGAUGGAGGACAGAAAUCACCAUGCCAUGCCGGGGUGCUCAAGAGGCAGUGACCCUGAAAGCUAGAGGAGAAAGGAAAAGAUCCGCCACCUGUGGAUACCGACCCCGGGCGGACCCAGCAGGUCACCCUACGGGUGGGGGAAAGCGAGGCCUGGGAGGCCAGGUAAGCGGUCCCGGUCUCAGAGGAGGAGCCAGCAACCCGCCGGUCUCCUCCAGGACACCAUCAGCUGCUGUGCAYCUCCUGGAGACGCGGCCAGCAUCCCUACGCUGGACAGCAGAGCCCGGACGACAGGAGGCUGAGGAUGGGAGGGAGGGA